AGAAUAAUGUUAUUUGCAGUCGCUCACUGCGGCAGUCGCCCUACGUGACAUCUUACGUGGUGACAUACGUGGCACUACUCUUCAAUUACGUGGAUUAAAAUAUUAAAAAACAAUUGGGUCAACUCACUUUUUAAUCCUUCAUUCCCGUGUUCUUUUCUUCCCAAAAACCUCUCAACCCUCACUUUCUGAAUCCCCUUUCCCAAAUCAGUAGAUUCUCCCCCAAUCGGAUAAAGAUCAAUCACCGCAUCCGCUAUUCACAAAAUAUUGGCCGGCGAUGUCUCUCGAUGGUUGGCCGGAGGUGUUCUAAACAACAAGAGAUUGGUGCCAGAUCUGGAAAGGGAAAUCCUUUUUUUUUUCUUUUAAUAGAUGACUACCUCUGUGGCAAUCUUGUUCAGAUUCAUCGUUCUGGAAAGUUAUAUGAUUAAAAAAAGUGAUAGGGUUUGUCUUCCAUCUGUUUUCCUUCCAAACACAGUGGAAGAUAUGUCAACUUCAAAAUGUUCUAGAAUAGCAGUCUUUAGAUUUGAUGUUCAUCCAAGAAUUUAUUGUUUUAAAUUCAUAUUGAGAUUGUAAAACAUAUUGAAAUCCAUGUUCUGCAAUUGUUGUAGCAAAACAAAAAUUGGUUUGUUCAAUCAAGUUUUUGGCUCUUGAACGGAUGGCACAGAUAUCACAUUUCGUUCAUGCCAUUUGGUAUUCUUUGAAUUUUAUAUGAAGCCUAUCUUGAAAUUGAAGUCGAGUCUUUCUCUUUAAAAAUAUACUUAGCAAACUAUAUCAAUACAAUGGUUCAGUUAAUGCUUUUGCUGGGUUGAUUCUCCUGUAUUUUAUGAUGAAAGUUAGCAUCUUCUGGAGCAGAUUUUUUGGGAGAUCCCUGCUGAAGGAUGUAGAUUCAAUAGAACCGUACCAUUGAAUCUUUGAGUCAUUCAUUCUUCUCUCCUUUGAUAGGGAGAUAUUGUACCUUCUCUUAUUUGACUAGCUUAGUAGAUUUGCAAUAUGUUUGAGCACUUUUUUGAUGGAGUUCAUUAGCGAUAAGUGAUAACCGAAACGAAAACUCAAUUUGAAAAUGAAUGCGCCUACAUUCGAC
rnacentral:lncRNA from 1 species